rnacentral:rRNA from 1 species
CCUAUCAUGCAAGUCGAGCGCGCCCUUCGGGGUGAGCGGCGGACGGGUGAGUACCCCUUUGGGAAUAUGCCCUUCUCUAAGGAAUAGCCUCUGGAAACGGAGAGUAAUACCUUAUACGCCCUUUGGGGGAAAGAUUUAUCGGAGAAGGAUUAGCCCGCGUUAGAUUAGGUAGUUGGUGGGGUAAUGGCCUACCAAGCCUACGAUCUAUAGCUGGUUUGAGAGGAUGAUCAGCCACACUGGGACUGAGACACGGCCCAGACUCCUACGGGAGGCAGCAGUAGGGAAUCUUAGACAAUGGGGGCAACCCUGAUCUAGCCAUGCCGCGUGUGUGAUGAAGGCCCUAGGGUCGUAAAGCACUUUCGCCAGAGAUGAUAAUGACAGUAUCUGGUAAAGAAACCCCGGCUAACUCCGUGCCAGCAGCCGCGGUAAUACGGAGGGGGUUAGCGUUGUUCGGAAUUACUGGGCGUAAAGCGCACGUAGGCGGAUUAGUAAGUUAGAGGUGAAAUCCCAGGGCUCAACCCUGGAACUGCCUUUAAUACUGCUAGUCUUGAGUUCGAGAGAGGUAAGUGGAAUUCCGAGUGUAGAGGUGAAAUUCGUAGAUAUUCGGAGGAA